CUCUUUUGAAUGGUCAUGUUCAUGUCAGAGAAUACUUUGCUUUAGUUUCCACCAUUCAUUUCCAAAAGAUCUUCUUUACUUCACCUAUGUUUUCCAAGGAGAGAUUACAAUUAUCCACAGAACUAAAGGAACAUUUAAUUAUGAAUGAAGGCAAUUAUAUGUGACCCAGGAUCCUGCAAAAUUUGAUCAGCUUGUAAAUGAAAAAUGGAUGGGUAAACAAAACAACAAAUUUUAAAAUUCUAUUGCUUAUUAACAUAUAUAUUAUUUAAAACUGACCUUCUCUGGCUGUCUAGCCAC